GAUGAACGCUAGCGGCAGGCCUAAUACAUGCAAGUCGAGGGGUAGAGCUAGCUUGCUAGCUUGAGACCGGCGCACGGGUGCGUAACGCGUAUGCAACAUACCCUUUUCUGGGGGAUAGCCCGGAGACAUCCGGAUUAAUACCGCAUAAGACCACGAUACGGCAUCGUGAUGUGGUCAAACAUUUAUGGGAGAAGGAUGGGCAUGCGUGCCAUUGGCGAGUUGGCGGGGUAACGGCCCACCAAGCCGACGAUGGCUAGGGGAUCUGAGAGGAUGGCACCCCGCACUGGUGCUGGGACACGGACCAGACUCCUACGGGAGGCAGCAGUAAGGAGUAAUGUUCAAUGGGGGCAACCUUGAACCAGCCAUGCCGCGUGCAGGACGACGGCCCUCCGGGUUGUAAACUGCUUUUGUACGGGAAUAAACCCCGCUACGUGUAGUGGGCUGAAUGUACCGUAAGAAUAAGGAUCGGCUAACUCCGUGCCAGCCGCCGCAGUAAAAC
rnacentral:rRNA from 1 species